GACAUUGAACAACAUAUAAAUAUAACUUCUCAUGGGUGGAUCGAUGUAUGAAAGCUCUCUCUAAAACUUUGUUCUUUAAAAUCAUACUCUUCUAAUAUGUUCUUGAGGCAUUGGAGGAUAUCUUAUCAAUGAAUCUUUCUCUAAACUUUUUUAAGUACUUUGUCUGUGAUGGUCUUUUUACAGGUAUAUUACUUUUUUAAGCCCUUUGUUUGUGAUGGCCUUUUUACGGGUAUAUUUCUUUAGAGAAGAUAUGUCGAGAGCUUUUACCAUGAUAUAUUGGACUUGAACUUUUAUCACAAUGUAAAUAUUUUAGAGAAGAUAUAUGCACCAUUUCGAUUUUCUAAAUGGUCAAUUGACAAUAUUGCUAUAUUUGAUAACGAUAUUCACUCAUUGAGAAUAUUACUAUCUUUGAUAACAAUAUUCACUAAUUGAUAAUAUUGCUCUCUUUGAUAACGAUAUUCACGAAUAUAGGUAAUUGAAUUAUCUAUAUUACAUCAAUGUGUAAGAAUGUACUAAAGUAUAUAUAAAGGGAAAAGUUUAUAUAGAGCCGAGGUUCUAAACAAUCAAAUUCGAGCCUGCCUCAAAACUUUCACUAGAAGAGGUUGUUUUGAUGCUCAAAUAUCCUCAAAUUGAUCAUCUCGACAUCAAGAUGCAUGGACAUGGGAAAAAAAAUGGAUUUCAAGUUUUAGAAAUAAUGUAUUUUGUAACGCAUUUUUGGACAGUCAAAUUUAAAGAUUUUCAAUUUUUCAUAGAUAUCAUCGUUUACACUAUUUUUGAAGCUUUAAACUUUAUAAAUAAAUAUAAACAUAUAUUUUAAGGCUAUCAAAAUGAUUUUAUGUAUUGAAACCACAUUCUUGGACACUAUUUGAAGAUGGGCUCUAAUUGGAUUGUUUAAAGCCUAGGCUCUACACAAACCACACCCAUAUAUAAAAUAUGGUUGUCUAAAAAGUAGUCAUACUUUACUAUGGAUUUCUUUUUGGAAAAAAUACUCUGGGUUUCUUUUUGGAAAAAUAGCAAAGUAGAGUGUGAGCAAUUGAAUCAAUAGGUUAGUUACCUUUUAUUUUGUAAUAGUGAAACAAGUAUAUUACAUAUGAGUAUUUGAAAUACCUUUUUUGUUGAGGUCCGUAGUGAACUGGCUUUCUUUAAUUUUAAUCCAAUCAUAAAAAACAAAAAAUCAAAGGUUCUUCGUUUCAUUAAAAUAGGAGAUUUGGUAUGAACUGUUGCCAAAAAUUAACCCACUUUAUUUUGUCCCAUGCAUUGAAAGAUCAUUAAAACUUAAGGAGUUCUUUUAUAAAUCUUUAAAAAAAAUAUUAAUAGUAAUUCAAGUUUUCUUAAACCAUGUAUUACUUAUAUACUUUUUCCAAUUUUCCUUUUGUUUUAUUCUUGUACUCUGGACCAGGUUGUUCAAUUACUAUGAAUUAGAAAAUAUCAAGAAAUAAAUAUUCAUAAUGGUUCAAGUUUCGUUACAAACCUAUGUAUUACUUCAUAUAUUUUUUAUCUUUAAAUUUUUGUUUUGGUUUAUUUAUUUUAAACAGAUUAUUCAAAUAAUAUGACUUCACAAAAUUCACAAGCGGAAAGUUCUGCCACGUAUAACCUGAAACGCAAGACUCAAA
rnacentral:lncRNA from 1 species